GCCAGGCAUGGUGGUGCAGGCCUGUAAUCCCAGCUACUCAGGAGGCUGAGGCAGGAGAAUUGCUUGAACCCAGGAGGCAGAGGUUUCAGUGAGCCAAGAUUGCGCCACUGCACUCCAGCCUGGGUGACAGAGCGAGACUCUGUCUCAA
ensembl:misc_RNA Metazoa_SRP Metazoan signal recognition particle RNA